GAGAGCCUAGAGAGUUGGGCUAGUAGAUUAGGAUAGAUUGGGAGAAGAGGAGAGUGGAUUUCGAUCAAAAACAGAUGGGAGGAGCAAAGAGAGAGUUUUGGAAAACAGAUAGAAACUUAGUGGGUGUGAGAGGGAAACUUAGUUUGGUCUUGUCUCUGUGUAAGGUAGGAUUCUCAUCCCCUUUGGUAUUUUCGAAUUCAGUUCUUGAGAUAUCAAUUACCUUGAUCCUUGAUUCUUAUUUUUGUUCAAUUAUAUGUUUUCUAUGAUUAAUUAUACAGUAGUAUUUGGACUUCGAAUUCACAGACCUGGUUAGAUAUCAGAGUUAGUUAGAAUUUCAUUAUGUUUUGAUUAGAAGUCGUAGUGAUUGCAGCUCUAAAAGAACGGUGUUCUUGAUAUGUUUUUGAGUUGGGUGUCCAAAUCAGAUUUUGGAUCCUUUUGAUUCAUUGUUGGUUGUGUUUAGGAACAUCUUAGAGCUCUGGAAAUGUUGUCUAACUGUUUUGAAGCUUUAUAAUCUCUUUUACUACUCCAUAAAUCGAAUCAAAGUCUUCAAAUUCGAAAUUUCAUGUUGCUGGAAAUUUUCCAGAAAAGUGCAAAAAACCAUGAUUUCGAACCAACUUUACAACAUCAUAACUUUUAGCUCAGUUCUUUGUUUUCGAUUCCAAAAGUGGUAUUGUAAACUUCAUAUAUCCCUCUAUAUACGUACCAAAUUUCGUUAGUUUUGGGUUACUUUUGGAAUGUGAAAAUCCUUACCCAAAUCUGUCACUUACACAGCUAUAUCUGUUUUUACUGGUGCAUAUCAGUAGACUUUCAAAAUUCAUAACUAUUUCUAGAAAAAUCAUUUUCAGGUGAUUCAACUUCUAAGAUCUUCAUUAGGAUGUCUAGUUUAUUUCCUUAGAAGACCACGAAGUUAAAUUCUUUAUGGUUUUACCUAGAUUCCAUUGUGAAAGGGACUGGGUCAGGAAACUGUUUUGGUACUAGUUGUGUUAAGAUGGAUUACUUGUGGUUUACUUCGAAUCCUUUGUUUGUUAAAGUGUCCAGACAGUAAAUUGCUUAAUGUUACGACAUUAAGUUAUAUUUUUUUGGUCUAAUUGAAAGUUCCUUGUGUUGAGUUGCUUUAAGGUAGUUACUAACUUUGUAUGUACUUUACCAUUUGGUAAGGUUCCGAGGAGGUCAUUGGUGAUCCACAAGAGUAGGCAACGGAGCUAGAGCUCGGGUUUGCGCUGCGCAAUUCGAGGUAGGGUUUGAUGGGGUGUUUUUUUUAUGUUGUGAUUAUGCUUGAAUUGUUUGGCUAUUGUUGGAGUUGUUUGACAUUGAUGUAUGCGAUAUUGUUGGCAUUGUUUGAUAUUGAACUGUUCUUUUGACUUAGAUAUAUGAUCAUUGGAGAUUAUGCUUAUUGAUUUGAUUAUGAUAUGCUCAUAUAUGAAAGCAUGUUCUAUUUGAUUUAUUAUUACAUGACAUUGUGGGAAAAGUGAGCACAUGAUGGAAGUUGAAAAAGGAAUGAGUUCUUGGGAUUGUAUGGGAUAUUGCUAUUAGGAAAUCGUUUGUGUAGUUGAGUUUCCUCAUAGGGCAUCCAAGACCUACAGUAGCCCACAUGUGCACAAAGAGGGGAGUGAAGCCCCAUCGACGCCGGAGUCGAUAAAACUAUCUAAUCGGGUUUCGGGUUUGGAGACCAUGAGUAUAACAAGAUGACUAACAAAUGAGAAGAGUUUUAUGAGGGUGAUGUGAAGUGGGAAGAGUUGAGUCGAACAUUGCAUACUUGCAUUCUUAAUAUGUUUAUUUGUUUAAUUGCCAUUGUUGCGAUGUGCUAUAUUUAUUUAUCUAGUAUUGUUAAGUGUAGCUCACCCCAUUCAAACCCAUUGCAGGUGUUUUCUCGAAGUGUUUUGGAAAUCUUAUAAUGCAAAUUAGAAUUUUCUUGGUUUUGUUUGUAAAUAGAGAUUGAAUAAAGAAUAGACGUUAUGAGGAGUAACGCUAUUCUUGUUUUGGUUUGUUUGCUGUUUGUUUGUAAAUACUUUAAACCUGUGUGCUUUUAGCACCCUUUUUAAAGGUUUGUAAUAUAAAUAAAGGUGCGAUCGUUUCUUUUCUUACGUCAUGUAAUGAUAUCAGUCUCAUUUUAAUUAUGGAUAUUAAACUGUCUGUAAUUAGAGUGUGAUUCACAUCUCAACUCGAGAUUAUACCUUUACUCGAGUUGGGGUGUGACACAAACUUUGCAGAUGUGGUGUAGAAGGUCCAUAGGAAACCCACCAAAUUAAAGGCUCAAAAUGAAACUUAUUCUCCAGAGCUUCGGCCGAUGAAUAAUCACCCAUGUUUAAUGAAAAAUAUGCAAAUUCUUCCAUCACUUUGUUACGAAUAUAAGCAUCCGGAUAGAGCUUUUGAAGACAUUUCUUCCUUUCAUUGUUGAGAUCAACAUCUCUAUGUGGAGCAAUCCGGUUAGGAUCCUCUUCAAGCCAUUGAGAGCUAUAGUACCUUGGAUUCAAAGAAUGUGUCAUGCAAUGAAGUGGUCUACAACUCUUGGUCCACUGAGCAAUAAAGAUAGGAUGCACCACAUCAUAGAAUCUUGUCACAUUACAAUGCUCUGUUAUGACAUAGGCAAAUUGAGGGUCAAAAACCGCUUUCUUCACUUUCACAAUCAUCGAAUCCCACCACUCAUAAACUAAGUGAAGGCAAGGUCUAUCCAUAUCCGACAUCCUUAUCAUCUCAUGUAUAAGACUCAUGAGGGCAAUCAUGAAAUCAAUUUGCUCCCAAAAGCUUUUCUUCAAUAGCAUCUCCUUCACCGCUCUUGCUUUAGGAACAUUAUAUUCUUUAUAGAUAUCCCAUUUUGGACUAAUAACCAUUUGUUGCAAGCCACUCUUCACAUCCCUAAACCUUUUAAGGACAACAUAAUGAGAAGCAAACCUUGUCUGGGCAACUUGGAGCAACUUCAAGGAACAAUGAUCAUUAUACAUAGACAAACGCAUGUUGUGGUUUACCAUAAAAUUCUUAAUGAACCAAACAUCAUUAUACACAUCCAUAAGCCACCCUAGCUCUUCAUCCACCUUCUCACCGGGAAGAUAAGAUUUUGCUUUCAACAAAUCCUUCAAAGCAAGGUUAAGGGUAUGAACCACACAUGGUGUCCAAAAUAUGUGUGGAUGUGUACUCUCAACAAUAGCACCGGCAGCAGAGCACACAUGUGCAUUAUCGGUCACCACUUGAACCACAUUAUCCGGACCAAUCUCAUUGAUGGAUUCCAAAAGCAAUCUUGAUAUUUCAUUCUUGUCUUUAUACACAUCAUCACAAUUAAUUGCUUUCAACAUCAUUGCCCCUUCUUUAGCAGCAGCCAUCAUAUU
rnacentral:lncRNA from 1 species